rnacentral:rRNA from 1 species
AUUGAACGCUGGCGGCAUGCUUUACACAUGCAAGUCGAACGGUAACAGGCCUUCGGGUGCUGACGAGUGGCGAACGGGUGAGUAAUGCAUCGGAACGUACCCAGAGGUGGGGGAUAACGCAGCGAAAGCUGUGCUAAUACCGCAUGUGAUCUGAGGAUGAAAGCGGGGGACCGGGCAGCAAUGUUUGGCCUCGCGCCUUUGGAGCGGCCGAUGUCGGAUUAGCUAGUUGGUGGGGUAAAGGCCUACCAAGGCGACGAUCCGUAGCUGGUCUGAGAGGACGACCAGCCACACUGGGACUGAGACACGGCCCAGACUCCUACGGGAGGCAGCAGUGGGGAAUUUUGGACAAUGGGCGCAAGCCUGAUCCAGCAAUGCCGCGUGCGGGAAGAAGGCCUUCGGGUUGUAAACCGCUUUUGGCAGGAACGAAACGGUGUCCGCUAAUACCGGGCGCUAAUGACGGUACCUGCAGAAUAAGCACCGGCUAACUACGUG